rnacentral:rRNA from 1 species
UACGUAGGGUGCAAGCGUUGUCCGGAAUUAUUGGGCGUAAAGAGCUCGUAGGCGGUUUGUCGCGUCUGCUGUGAAAAUCCGAGGCUCAACCUCGGACCUGCAGUGGGUACGGGCAAACUAGAGUGCGGUAGGGGAGAUGGGAAUUCCUGGUGUAGCGGUGGAAUGCGCAGAUAUCAGGAGGAACACCGAUGGCGAAGGCACAUCUCUGGGCCGUAACUGACGCUGAGGAGCGAAAGCGUGGGGAGCGAACAGG